CCGCCGGCCGGGUGAGCGGCAGCAGCCCCGGCGCCUGCCCCGCAGCCAGCCCGGAUGGGGGCGGGGGGGCAAGGCCAGCCCGGGGCUCCCCACUCGCCCCCCAGCCAUCAGGAGGACACAGGAGUUGAUGGCCCGCUGGUCUGUCCUGCUAUGGCACGAGUUCCUUCCUGUAUGCAGCACAGAGCCACUUGCUAUACAGGGCUCCUUCCUCUGCUGUCUAUUCUGCAGCGCACUUGGGGAGGGCGUUCCUGGUGGAGGAGACUCUUGAUCCACAAACCCAGCCACCCCCACACCAAGGAAGCGACCCCUAAAAUGCUGAUGCUGCAGGGAAACGGCAGAAUUCACCUGUGUGAGUCCACACUGGUCACGUCUUCCUCACUUGGCUGCACGUUAUUCUGCUGAGGCUGUAACUCUCCUGUGCUCAGUGAGGGGAGUAGGGAGAGCCAGCCAUGCGCUGUCACAGCACAGUGAUCAGAACCAGGGCCGGACCACAUGGGGUGCUGGGCUUGGGGGAUACCAGGCUCGGGGUGCUGUUUUUGUUGUUAGUGACAAAAGGGAAAAUAGAACGUUGGAAGUAAAAUGUUCCAGGUAGUCUGUGUGUGGAUUCAUUUUUAACUAACCUCCUAGAAUGUUCUGGACUUUUGUAGAAUUUCAUGGAACCUUCCAAACUUUCUGAGAACUACAUUUUCCUCGAACCUCCUAGAGCAUUGUCAGCCUGGCCCUCGCGGGUAUUUAAGGGGCGGGGCGUCACCAGUCAACAGAUUUGAAGACACCAUCACUAGUGCCAAAGAAAUGGUGGAAUCCUGAGGAUUUGAGCCUGUAUUCAAGGAAACUCUUAUUCAUCAGAAGAAGAGACAGUUUGGUUACGAGGGCCGAGAUGAGGUGAUGGGAAGCUUGGAAGAAAAGUUCCAGAGGGAGGUUUUUUUGCUCACUCACUGACACUGCUUGAGUGUCCAUCGAAGAAAGGUUCGGACAAAUGAAGCACCGUGAAAAGACUGGGGUGGGGGGAGAAGGGUUGUGUGACCUUAGUAAGCUGCCGGUGGACAGGAAAAGACUCUCGAACAAUUCACCAGACCUUCACCGGACACUGACACAUGGGGAAUGUUCGGACACCAAUGCUAAAGACCUCUUGUCGAAUUGGACAACAGCCAUCCCAUUUUGCCACAUGGGGAGCACUUUCCACUCCAAGUUCUCCAGUUCAUACAUGAUGCAGAGCUGGAGGACACUUUUCCUAAUGUGUGGAGAGCUUUGAGGAUUCUGCUCAUGCUGCCGGUCACAGUUGCAAGUGGUGAGUGCAGCUUUUCAAAGCUCAGGUUCAUUAAAACAUAACUUCGAUCGACGAUGGCUAAUGAGAGACUGCCAUCGCUUGCUAUUUUAGCGCUUGAAAGUGCCAUUGGCCUGUCUUUGGAUCUGACACUGCUUCAGUUUGCGAGGGCAACGGCGAGAAAAGUGAUCUUUGGAACUAAAGGACUAGUGUUAACAUUCUAAGACUGUCAUCUACUGGAAUGCUACUUAAUACUGGUUUUGCCAGAUACUGGGAAUGGGCGAUAGGGGAUGGAUCACUUGAUGAUUCCCUGUUCUGUUCAUUCCCUCUGGGGCACCUGGCAUUGGCCACUGUCGGAAGGCAGGAUACUGGGCUAGAUGGACCAUUGGUCUGACCCAGUCUGGCUGCUCUUACGUUAUUAUGUCCCCCCAAUGUAGGUGCACAGUUCAAUUUCUUGAUGUUAGUACAUUUCAGUUACUCUUAAAAUUAAAAAGUUUCUAUAAAAUUAGAGGAAACAAAUUAUUUGUAUUGGCUUAUAUAUGGCAUGAAUAAAUAGAUUUACAGAUCCUAGUGUAUAAAUUUAUCAUCUUAUGUGACAGGGAUAAAUCAUCCAUCAAACUCUUGAAAUGGGCCACAAAUGCAGCAAAAAAUAAGACAUUCAAAAGUUUAACAAAUGUGGGGUGGGGGGGGAGCACUGAAGAUGCUCCGUGCCUAGGGCGCCAUUUGGUCUAGGGCCAGCCCUGAUCAGACCAGAUGCUUUACAGGGAGCUUAAUUUAUGCCACCCGAGCCUCUUCUCUCCUUAUAGAGCUGGGAAAGUCAGAGUGGGUCCCAGCUAGCCCCUGGCUUUCCCAGGCUCGCUCCCUGCAGUCCAUUCUCCAGUACGGUGUGAAAUGACUCAGGCAGCGGGGUGACGCAGGUGUAAUUGAGCUGCAGCAAAGUGCUUGUUCUAGUCAUUUACUUACCGCUUUUAACCCAAGGCUUCAGAGCAUCAUGUUUACUGGAAAGCAGCAGCCGCCUCUCUCUUGCAAGUUGCUGAAACCGACUCCUGCUUCGUGCAGCUGUGAUUCAAGGCCUGCCCUUGUGUCUGUCUCUGCAGCCUCAGCAUGGCAGCCAGCUCUGCUUUAGCUACUGGUGAAAAUAGCAAAGUGAGUGUGUAAUAAAGACAUUAAGUUAUGAGCUAUUAA